UACACACACACAUUUCUGCUGACACUAAUGAUUAGUUAGGAUGUGGAUACAUGUUUUAGAAACCACUUCCUAAUACUAUAAUUCAUGAUUAACUCAAGAGUUACAAGUGAUUAGUUAAUUAU